UACGAAGGGGGCUAGCGUUGCUCGGAAUUACUGGGCGUAAAGCGCACGUAGGCGGCUUCUUAAGUCGGUGGUGAAUCCUGGAGCUCAACUCCAGAACUGCCUUCGAUACUGGGAGCUCGAGUCCGGGAGAGGUGAGUGGAACUGCGAGUGUAGAGGUGAAAUUCGUAGAUAUUCGCAAGAACACCAGUGGCGAAGGCGGCUCACUGGCCCGGUACUGACGCUGAGGUGCGAAAGCGUGGGGAG
rnacentral:rRNA from 1 species